AAUUAUUAUGACAUAAAUGACUAUGACCCGAUUCAAGUUAUAAGGGGCAACAUUGGAACAAAAAUAAAUAAAAAGAUUACAUCAGAAAAUAUUUAAAAAGAAAUGUAAUCAUAUGUGGCACAAAAGUCAAAGGACUUAGAUCAAAGUCACUAAAUUUGAUGAUUAAACCCAACUCCUCAAUGAAAAUUUGGAUCUAUAUCAACUUUUCUUUAAAAUCUUUGAUGACCUCUCCAUUCUCCUUCUGUUUUGCAAGUACAAGAAUUGUAGCAACCAUCAUAAUUACGCCAAAAUAUCAUGUUUGCAAAUUCACUCACCACCCUGAUUGCUGGACUGGCAAUUGAGGAAGAACGCCGCAAAAACAAUACUCUCUUUCCCAAAGUUUUAACUCUAGUCCAAUCUUUUCGUGAUGAAUAUGAAAUUGGUAGUUAGGUGACGAUGGGUAAAUUUAAAUGCUAUUCAAGCAAACACAAUGAUUUCACACACUUUAAACCUUGACCAAAUAUACUUAUGACUAGUCAACUGCUAGUCAUGAUAAACCAUAACGAAGAACACACACAAAGAGCAUAACAAUAUGUACCUGCAAGCCUAGAAAAUUACUAGUGACAACCUAGGCACUCA
rnacentral:lncRNA from 1 species